rnacentral:rRNA from 1 species
GUACGGGGGGGCAAGCGUUGUUCGGAAUACUGGGCGUAAAGGGCUCGUACGGCGGAGCCAACGUCAAGCAGAACGUGAAAUCCCCAGGACCCGUUAACCUGGGAACUGCGUCUGAUACUGGGAUGGCUUGAAUUCGGGAGAGGGAUGCAGAAUUCCAGGUGUAGCGGUGAAUGCGUAGAUAUCUGGAGGAAUACCGGUGGCGAAGGCGGCAUCCUGGACCGAGAUUGACGCUGAUGAGCGAAAGCUAGGGGAGCAACGGG